rnacentral:rRNA from 1 species
GGGUUAAUAUUCCCGUACUUGGUGUUACUGCGAAGGGGGGACGGAGAAGGCUAUGUUGGCCGGGCGACGGUUGUCCCGGUUUAAGCGUGUAGGUGUGUGUUCCAGGUAAAUCCGGUUCACUUUAACACUGAGGCGUGAUGACGAGGCACUACGGUGCUGAAGCAACAAAUGCCCUGCUUCCAGGAAAAGCCUCUAAGCAUCAGGUAACAUCAAAUCGUACCCCAAACCGACACAGGUGGUCAGGUAGAGAAUACCAAGGCGCUUGAGAGAACUCGGGUGAAGGAACUAGGCAAAAUGGUGCCGUAACUUCGGGAGAAGGCACGCUGACACGUAGGUGAAGUGAUUUACUCAUGGAGCUGAAGUCAGUCGAAGAUACCAGCUGGCUGCAACUGUUUAUUAAAAACACAGCACUGUGCAAACACGAAAGUGGACGUAUACGGUGUGACGCCUGCCCGGUGCCGGAAGGUUAAUUGAUGGGGUCAGCGCAAGCGAAGCUCCUGAUCGAAGCCCCGGUAAACGGCGGCCGUAACUAUAACGGUCCUAAGGUAGCGAAAUUCCUUGUCGGGUAAGUUCCGACCUGCACGAAUGGCGUAAUGAUGGCCAGGCUGUCUCCACCCGAGACUCAGUGAAAUUGAACUCGCUGUGAAGAUGCAGUGUACCCGCGGCAAGACGGAAAGACCCCGUGAACCUUUACUAUAGCUUGACACUGAACAUUGAGCCUUGAUGUGUAGGAUAGGUGGGAGGCUUUGAAGUGUGGACGCCAGUCUGCAUGGAGCCGACCUUGAAAUACCACCCUUUAAUGUUUGAUGUUCUAACGUGGACCCGUGAUCCGGGUUGCGGACAGUGUCUGGUGGGUAGUUUGACUGGGGCGGUCUCCUCCUAAAGAGUAACGGAGGAGCACGAAGGUUGGCUAAUCCUGGUCGGACAUCAGGAGGUUAGUGCAAUGGCAUAAGCCAGCUUGACUGCGAGCGUGACGGCGCGAGCAGGUGCGAAAGCAGGUCAUAGUGAUCCGGUGGUUCUGAAUGGAAGGGCCAUCGCUCAACGGAUAAAAGGUACUCCGGGGAUAACAGGCUGAUACCGCCCAAGAGUUCAUAUCGACGGCGGUGUUUGGCACCUCGAUGUCGGCUCAUCACAUCCUGGGGCUGAAGUAGGUCCCAAGGGUAUGGCUGUUCGCCAUUUAAAGUGGUACGCGAGCUGGGUUUAGAACGUCGUGAGACAGUUCGGUCCCUAUCUGCCGUGGGCGCUGGAGAACUGAGGGGGGCUGCUCCUAGUACGAGAGGACCGGAGUGGACGCAUCACUGGUGUUCGGGUUGUCAUGCCAAUGGCACUGCCCGGUAGCUAAAUGCGGAAGAGAUAAGUGCUGAAAGCAUCUAAGCACGAAACUUGCCCCGAGAUGAGUUCUCCCUGAGACUUUAGGUCUCCUGAAGGAACGUUGAAGACGACGACGUUGAUAGGCCGGGUGUGUAAGCGCAGCGAUGCGUUGAGCUAACCGGUACUAAUGAACCGUGAGGCUUAACCUU